GGGUCAGUAGGCGGGUCGUGCCACCGGUACGUACCGGUCACACUGAUUCCUCCUUCCUGAAGAACCGUAAUGCCAUUAAUUUGGUGUUGCGGGGAAACAGGACUGUUACUUUGAAAAAAUUAGAGUGUUUAAAGCAAGCUAACGCUUGAAUACAUUAGCAUGGAAUAAUGAAAUAGGACGAUCGAUCCUAUUUUGUUGGUUUCUAGGAUUGACGUA
rnacentral:rRNA from 1 species